CCUUAUUGUUGUACACUGAAAAGAGCGCUUGAAAGGAAAUUCAGUUUCUACUGGGUUGAUUCACUACUGUGCAAGAAGACAGAGAAUAUGCACUUUUAGGAAGGAACCUUUUUAUACAUAUGGCUAAUUGUGACUCUUAGUAAAUGGAUUACAGAACUCACAAAUGAGUGUGGACUCAAGGUUUAAAAAGCACUGCAGGAACCAACUACCUAGGACUGGAAUUACUGAAUCUAAGGAAGAUGAAUUCACUUUACAAGUCUUUCUUCUGGGAGAAAGUCCUUAUUUCUUCAAGAAUAUUUUCAGAUGUUGUUUAAGGCAACGAGCCAGAGAAUGAUAAAGUUGUUCCAAGCAAGUUUGGGCACACCUGAUUUAGCAAGUCUCGCUUGUGAACAGGAGCUGUGAAGGACUACGUGGUAAGUUUUAUAUUUUCCCCAAACGAAAACAAUAAGAAACAAAGCAAUCCUCCAACCCCAAACCAAAAAAUAAAUAGAAUAAGAAAGAGUGAGAUAUACUAAGC
rnacentral:lncRNA from 1 species